AUUGAACGCUGGCGGCAGGCUUAACACAUGCAAGUCGAGCGGAGAUGAGGUGCUUGCACCUUAUCUUAGCGGCGGACGGGUGAGUAAUGCUUAGGAAUCUGCCUAUUAGUGGGGGACAACAUUCCGAAAGGAAUGCUAAUACCGCAUACGUCCUACGGGAGAAAGCAGGGGAUCUUCGGACCUUGCGCUAAUAGAUGAGCCUAAGUCGGAUUAGCUAGUUGGUGGGGUAAAGGCCUACCAAGGCGACGAUCUGUAGCGGGUCUGAGAGGAUGAUCCGCCACACUGGGACUGAGAAACGGCCCAGACUCCUACGGGAGGCAGCAGUGGGGAAUAUUGGACAAUGGGGGGAACCCUGAUCCAGCCAUGCCGCGUGUGUGAAGAAGGCCUUAUGGUUGUAAAGCACUUUAAGCGAGGAGGAGGCUACUGAGAUUAAUACUCUUGGAUAGUGGACGUUACUCGCAGAAUAAGCACCGGCUAACUCUGUGCCAGCAGCCGCGGUAAGAC
rnacentral:rRNA from 1 species